GCUUUCGUGGUGUAGUGGUCAGCACGCUCGACGCGUAACCUAGUGGUCCAUGGUUCGAUUCCCGGCGAAGGCG
rnacentral:tRNA from 1 species